CCUACGGGGGGCAGCAGUAGGGAAUAUUGCUCAAUGGGGGAAACCCUGAAGCAGCAACGCCGCGUGGAGGAUGAAGGUUUUAGGAUUGUAAACUCCUUUUGUUAGAGAAGAUUAUGACGGUAUCUAACGAAUAAGCACCGGCUAACUCCGUGCCAGCAGCCGCGGUAAUACGGAGGGUGCAAGCGUUACUCGGAAUCACUGGGCGUAAAGAGUGCGUAGGCGGGGUAAUAAGUCAGAUGUGAAAUCCUGUAGCUUAACUACAGAAUUGCAUUUGAAACUGUUACUCUGGAGUGUGGGAGAGGUAGGUGGAAUUCUUGGUGUAGGGGUAAAAUGCGUAGAGAUCAAGAGGAAUACU
rnacentral:rRNA from 1 species